rnacentral:rRNA from 1 species
AGAGUUUGAUCCUGGCUCAGGAUGAACGCUAGCGGCAGGCCUAAUACAUGCAAGUCGGACGGGAUCUAGAUCUAAGCUUGCUUAGAUUUAGUGAGAGUGGCGCACGGGUGCGUAACGCGUGAGCAACCUACCCAUAUCAGGGGGAUAGCCCGGAGAAAUCCGGAUUAACACCGCAUGACACAACGACUCGGCAUCGAGAUGUUGUUAAAUAUUUAUAGGAUAUGGAUGGGCUCGCGUGACAUUAGCUAGUUGGUAAGGUAACGGCUUACCAAGGCUACGAUGUCUAGGGGCUCUGAGAGGAGAAUCCCCCACACUGGUACUGAGACACGGACCAGACUCCUACGGGAGGCAGCAGUAAGGAAUAUUGGUCAAUGGAGGGAACUCUGAACCAGCCAUGCCGCGUGCAGGAUGACUGCCCUAUGGGUUGUAAACUGCUUUUGUCCAGGAAUAACCACCACUACGUGUAGUGGCUUGAAUGUACUGGAAGAAUAAGGAUCGGCUAACUCCGUGCCAGCAGCCGCGGUAAUACGGAGGAUCCGAGCGUUAUCCGGAUUUAUUGGGUUUAAAGGGUGCGUAGGCGGCUCAUUAAGUCAGGGGUGAAAGACGGCAGCUCAACUGUCGCAGUGCCUUUGAUACUGAUGAGCUUGAAUGUGGUUGAAGAUGGCGGAAUGAGACAAGUAGCGGUGAAAUGCAUAGAUAUGUCUCAGAACUCCGAUUGCGAAGGCAGCUGUCUAAGUCAUUAUUGAGCUGAUGCACGAAAGCGUGGGGAUCGAACAGGAUUAGAUACCCUGGUAGUCCACGCCCUAAACGAUGAUAACUCGAUGUUGGCGAUACACAGUCAGCGUCUUAGCGAAAGCGUUAAGUUAUCCACCUGGGGAGUACGCCCGCAAGGGUGAAACUCAAAGGAAUUGACGGGGGCCCGCACAAGCGGAGGAGCAUGUGGUUUAAUUCGAUGAUACGCGAGGAACCUUACCCGGGCUUGAAAGUUACUGAAUUAUCUAGAGAUAGAUAAGUCCUUCGGGACAGGAAACUAGGUGCUGCAUGGCUGUCGUCAGCUCGUGCCGUGAGGUGUUGGGUUAAGUCCCGCAACGAGCGCAACCCCUAUGUUUAGUUGCCAGCAUGUAAUGRUGGGGACUCUAAACAGACUGCCAGCGUAAGCUGUGAGGAAGGUGGGGACGACGUCAAGUCAUCAUGGCCCUUACGUCCGGGGCUACACACGUGCUACAAUGGAUGGUACAGCGGGCAGCUACCUGGUAACAGGAUGCUAAUCUCGAAAAGCCAUUCACAGUUCGGAUUGAGGUCUGCAACUCGACCUCAUGAAGUUGGAUUCGCUAGUAAUCGCGUAUCAGCAAUGACGCGGUGAAUACGUUCCCGGGCCUUGUACACACCGCCCGUCAAGCCAUGAAAGUUGGGGGUGCCUAAAGCAUGUAACCGCAAGGAGCGUGUUAGGGUAAAACCGAUAAUUGGGGCUAAGUCGUAACAAGGUAGCCG